GGGGGGAGGGGGUUUGGUCGUUAGGUGAAUGCACCCAGCACAGGGUAUGUGUCAGGGGAUGGCACUUGCUUACAUACAAAUUUAAUCAUUUGCACUAUUUAUCUUUGGGGCACUUACAUGUUGGAGUCCCAGGAAUGGAUAUUGUGUAGAUAUGCAUAAUGGUCUAUAUCAGGGGUAGCCAAAGAGGCCUCUCUGCCCUAGCAGGAGUCCCAGUGAAACUUCAGUUAUCUGCUAAUGUGAAAAGGUGGUGAAGGACAAUCCUCAAUCUAUCCAUUGCAGCACGUAGAGGAAGUAAACCCAGAUCACUUCUUCCCAGCACUUGUGAAUGGAAAUCCACACUGGAGUAGAGCAGGUUGCAGCUGCUGUUUGUGCCUGGUCCCCAAGGGAAGCCACUCACACUGCUAGAUAUACAGAGCUGCAGAAUAACUCUCCACUCAUUCAAAUAAUAUGAACAGCCAACACACACCCCCCAACAACCCCACAUGCAAUACCCCAAACAGCUCCACACAUACUACCAAUGUGCCAUUCAUCCAAACACACAAUUCCAUAAACAGCCCCCAUACAAAGCCCACAUCCAUAGGUACUUAAUACCACAAACUACUCAUGAACAUAUACAAUAUAGUAGGACAUAUACGCACAAAUACGAUCCAAAGCAACUGCAGUAUAAAUAACACAAGCACAAUACGGCAACAUGCACACCUCAAAUUAAAAAAAUAAGACCGGCACGCUACGGGACUUCACAAUCCUAUUUCGGCACAGUGCUGCUAGAAGGUUGCAUACCCCUGGUCUAUAUGGUUACUUUUUCCAACCGAUUGCAUAAACAAGAGUCAGGGUAUCUUAUUAAACUUUUAAAUUGAUCUGACAUUCAUAUUGAAGAUUUGUUUUUAUCACGUUUGGCUCACAGGCAAAUAGUUUGUGUUAGUGGGAAGUUAUAGUGGUAACCUCAUACUGUUUUGUUGUGGUAGGUUUGUCUAUCCGGGUAUUUUCCCUAAAGUGAGAAUUCUGAAUAAGAACUGGAUAAAUAACCCAUCUGGAUACAUAUUGUUUAGCGUGCCUACUCUGUCCUUCAAUUAGAAAUUCACAUUGAAUUCUCACUUUAGUGAAAAACCCUGUAUGUAUUUUAUUGCCCACCAUGGUAGAGAUAAGAGACAG